rnacentral:rRNA from 1 species
UACGGGGGGGGCAAGCGUUGUUCGGAAUUACUGGGCGUAAAGGGCUCGUAGGCGGCCAACUAAGUCCGAUGUGAAAUCCCAAGGCUUAACCUUGGAACUGCGUCGGAUACUGGAUGGCUUGAAUUCGGGAGAGGGAUGCAGAAUUCCAGGUGUAGCGGUGAAAUGCGUAGAUAUCUGGAGGAAUACCGGUGGCGAAGGCGGCAUCCUGGACCGACAUUGACGCUGAGGAGCGAAAGCUAGGGGAGCAAACGGG